UAUGGCUCAGAUUGAACGCUGGCGGCGUGCUUAACACAUGCAAGUCGCGCGUGAAAGGACUUCGGUCCGAGUAAAGCGGCGCACGGGUGAGUAACGCGUGGAUGAUCUACCCAUGAGUUAGGAAUAACGGCUGGAAACGGUCGCUAAUACCAAAUACGCUCCGAUUUCAACUUCGGGGGAAAGGUGGCCUCUGCUUGCAAGCUACUGCUCAUGGAUGAGUCCGCGUCCCAUUAGCUAGUUGGUGGGGUAACGGCCCACCAAGGCGACGAUGGGUAGCCGGUCUGAGAGGAUGACCGGCCACACUGGGACUGGAACACGGCCCAGACUCCUACGGGAGGCAGCAGUGGGGAAUAUUGCGCAAUGGGCGAAAGCCUGACGCAGCGACGCCGCAUGAGGGAUGAAGGUCCUCGGAUCGUAAACCUCUGUCAGGAGGGAAGAACCGCCACGGUGCUAAUCAGCCGUGGUCUGACGGUACCUCCAAAGGAAGCACCGGCUAACUCCGUGCCAGCCGCAGC
rnacentral:rRNA from 1 species